rnacentral:rRNA from 1 species
AUUGAACGCUGGCGGCAUGCUUUACACAUGCAAGUCGAACGGCAGCGCGGGCUUCGGCCUGGCGGCGAGUGGCGAACGGGUGAGUAAUACAUCGGAACGUGCCGAGUAGUGGGGGAUAGCUCGGCGAAAGCCGGAUUAAUACCGCAUACGACCUGAGGGUGAAAGCGGGGGAUCUUCGGACCUCGCGCUAUUGGAGCGGCCGAUGGCAGAUUAGCUAGUUGGUGGGGUAAAGGCCUACCAAGGCGACGAUCUGUAGCUGGUCUGAGAGGACGACCAGCCACACUGGGACUGAGACACGGCCCAGACUCCUACGGGAGGCAGCAGUGGGGAAUUUUGGACAAUGGGCGAAAGCCUGAUCCAGCAAUGCCGCGUGUGUGAUGAAGGCCUUCGGGUUGUAAAGCACUUUUGGCGGGAACGAAAAGGACUGUGCCAAUACCACGGUUCGAUGACGGUACCCGCAGAAUAAGCACCGGCUAACUACGUG